CCGGACCUGCUGAAGGAUUGACAGAUUGAUAGCUCUUUCUUGAUUCAGUGGGUGGUGGUGCAUGGCCGUUCUUAGUUGGUGGAGUGAUUUGUCUGGUUAAUUCCGAUAACGAACGAGACUCUAUCCUGCUAAAUAGUCUGGUGGCAUCGGUAUGCCUUGUGUAACUACAGCUACUAAAACUUCUUAGAGGGAUUCGCAGUAUUUAAACUGCACGAAAGAGAGCAAUAACAGGUCUGUGAUGCCCA
rnacentral:rRNA from 1 species